rnacentral:lncRNA from 1 species
AGUGUAAGUAGUCGCCAUGUUUCUGUCGCUAUCACUUUCUUGGGGGUGUCACUGAUCACUGGCUAUUGCGACUACCAGACGCUCUGGACACUUGGAACGCUCCUGAGUUUGCGGCUGGGUCCACUUCCUGAAUGAUACUAGGAUCCCCGCCUCUGGUUUCUUUUGGCUGCCCCCGAGCUACCUCAGUCUUUUUCAAUGUCAGGCGGUCCAAGUUCCCUGUGGUGAAAAUGGAGCCCAGUGAGUCGUGCCCAUGGCAGCGCACCUGGUUUUGCAGCCUGGGCAGGUCACAGGUGCAUCUUCCACGGGGAUUUGAGCCAGCGUGCACCCCCAUAGCGCGACUGAGAUUCCAAGUCACACCCAGGUUUUGGCCUCGCAAAUCCGCCUCUGCUCCCAGCUGGCACCUGAGUAUGCAGGUCGCAGCCCGCGAUUUAGAAACACCGGCACCCGGGUGAACGCCCACGGCUCCUCAGCUUUCGCUGCACCGACGUCUGCACCACGCCCGUCAAGCUCAGCUGCAUCCUGACUCUGGGUUGGAAACUUCGUGGUGGAUGAUGCCUGUAACUACCCAGAUGAAAUCAAGACGCAACAGCCCUCAUCGAGGGAUGCUCAGAGUCAAGGAAACUUUUCUUUUGAGCUACUGACAGCUUAACUCCUGUGAACAAAAUUUGGAGCAUAUUUGUUUCUCUCUGCCUGAUUUCUCCAAAAUUUGGAAACUAUUUGUGAGUAUUCUUAACUUAUAGCAAUAUAGUUAUUUGCAUAAGUACAAUAAGGAUCUGUUUUCUUUUGCAAACUCACGGCUGGGCUCAGCUUUUAAAAAGUCUUAUCUGAGAUUCAUUUUAUGAAACACAGUUCCAUCAAAGUCAAUUUUAAAAGCCUCUGUGAAAAAUAAUUAUUAUUGCUGCACUUUAUACAAAUAAUUAGGCCAAGUAUAAUAAAGCAAAUUGGUUUUGCCAUGAUUUGUCUUUAGUAAAAAAUGGGAGACUGGAGAGAGAAAAAUUAUGUUUCAAGAACUAUGGUACACCUGUUAUUAGAUUCUAAUCUCAUCAGUUGUUUUUGAGGGUUUUCUUCUGCAAUUUAGACUGACUGCUUAUUCCUGUGAGCCAACCAGUGAUCUCUGGUUGCAGUUCAGAAUAAACAAGACAGAUACCACCUUUUGUCAGAACUCGGAGUUACAAGUGACCCUCACCAUAAUUAUGCUUUCUGAGCUCCUCUCUACCCUGAAUACAAGAGACCCUAACAGUUAGGCAGGAAAGCAUUGCCCCUAUUCAGCCUGAAGAAGUUACAGAAUAUGGAUCUUCAUCCUUCCACAACCCUUAGGAUUAAGAGUUGCCUUGUAAAAGGGAGGGGGGAAAUGUCAGAGACAUUUGAAUCAGAACAACUCCACCUUGAAUAGGGUCUGGGUAAAACAAGGCUGAGAACUGCUGGGUUGCAUUCCCAGAUGGUUAAGGCAUUCUAACUCACCGGAUGAGAUAGGAGGUCAGAACAAGAUACAGCUUAUAAAGACCUUGCCGAUAAAACAGGUUGUAGUAAGAAAAGCCGGCCAAAACCAAGAUAGCAACAAAAGUGACUUCUAAUUGUCCUCACUGCUCAUUAUAUGCUAAUUACAGUGCAUUAGCAUGCUAAAAGACACUCCUACCCACACCAAAACAGUUUACAAAUUCCAUAGCAACAUCAGAAAAUUACCCUAUAUAGUCUAAAAAGGGGAGGAACCCCCAGUUCUGGGAAUUGCCCACUCUUCCUGGAAAAUUCAUGAAUAAUCCACCCCUUGUGAUAUGAUUUGGCUGUGUGUAGCCUAGGGACUUGAUAUCCUGCAUCCCAGUUGCUCUAGCCAUGGAUAAAAGGGGCCAAGGUACAGCUGGGGCCAUGGCUUGAAAGGGUGCAAGCUCCAAGCCUAGGCAGCAUCCACAUGGUGUUGAGCCUGCGGGUGCACAGAGGUCAAGAAUUGAGGUUUGGGAACCUCCGCCUAGAUUUCAGAGGAUGUAGAGAAAUGCCUGGAUGUCCAGUCAGAAGUUUGCUUCAGGAACAGCGCCCUCAUGGAGAACCUUUGCUAGGGCAAUGAAGAAGGGAAAUGUGGGCUUGAAACCCCACACAGAGUCCCCACUGAGGCACCGCCUAGUGGGGCUGUGAGGAGAGGGCCAGCGUCCUCCAGACCCCAGAAUGGUAGAUCCACCAACAGCUUACACUGUGCACCUGGAAGAGCCAUAGACACUCAACACCAGGAGUGAAAGCAGCCACAAAGACACAGAGGCAGAGCUGCCCAAGACCAUGGGAACCCACCUCUUGCAGCAUAACUUGGAUGUGAGAAAUGGUGUCCAUGGAGAUAAUUUCAGAGCUUUAAGAUUUGGCUGCCCUGCUGGAUUUCUAACUUGCAUGGGGCCUGUAGCCCCUCCAUCUUGGCCAGUCUGUCACAUUUGGAAUGGGUGUAUUUACCCGAUACCUGUACCCCCAUUGUAUCUGGGAAGUAACUAAGUUGCUUUUGAUUUUACAGGCUCCUAGGUGGAAGGAACUCACCUUGUCUUAAAUGAGACUUUGGACUAUGGACUUUUAAGUUUAUGCUGAAAUGAGUUAAGAAUUUGGGGGACUGUGGGGAAGGUAUGAUUGGUUUUAAAAUGUGAGAACAUGAAAUUUGGGAGGGGUUGGGGGCAGAAUGAUAUGGUUUGGCUGUGUCCCUACCCAAAUCUCAUCUUGAAUUGUAGCUCCCAUAAUUCCCGCCUGUCAUGGGAGGGAUGCAGUGGGAGGUAAUUAAAUCAUGGGGACGGGUCUUUCCCAUGCUGUUCUCAUGGUAGUGAAUAAAUCUCAAGAGUUCUG